AUUGAACGCUGGCGUCAUGCCUUACACAUGCAAGUCGAACGGCAGCACGGGUGCUUGCACCUGGUGGCGAGUGGCGAACGGGUGAGUAAUACAUCGGAACGUACCUUAUCGUGGGGGAUAACGCAGUGAAAGCUGUGCUAAUACCGCAUACGCCCUGAGGGGGAAAGCGGGGGAUCGCAAGACCUCGCGCGAUUAGAGCGGCCGAUGCCUGAUUAGCUUGUUGGUGGGGUAAAAGCCCACCAAGGCGACGAUCAGUAGCUGGUCUGAGAGGACGAUCAGCCACACUGGGACUGAGACACGGCCCAGACUCCUACGGGAGGCAGCAGUGGGGAAUUUUGGACAAUGGGGGCAACCUGAUCCAGCAAUGCCGCGUGAGUGAAGAAGGCCUUCGGGUUGUAAAGCUCUUUUGUCAGGGAAGAAACACCGGCUCUAACACAGUCCGGGAAUGACGGUACCUGAAGAAUAAGCACCGGCUAACUACGUGCCAGCCGCCGCCGUAA
rnacentral:rRNA from 1 species